GUGAUUCCCGCCGGUGUUUGCGCUUCCCCGCUGCUUAUCGGGUUCGAGAGCCCUGAGCUCCUGCAGGACUUUGUUUGUUUGUUUGUUUGUUUUGGUUUUAUUUUUCGAGACAGGGUUUCUCUGCGUAGCUUUGAGCCUUUCCUGGAGCUCACUUGGUAGCCCAGGCUGGCUCGAACUCACAGAGAACCGCCUGGCUCUGCCUCCCGAGUGCUGGGAUUAAAGGCGUGCGCCACCACCGCCCGGCUAGUUUUGUUCUUUUUUAAGACAGUGUCUCACACCUCAGUCCUAGCUAUCCUCGAACCUGUGGCAACCCUCCUGCUUCGGUCUCCAGGCUACUGAGGUGACUGUCCGACCCCACCACUUGCAGCGUUUAUGAAGUGCAAGUUUGUAGACUCGGGCCCCGCGGUCACUAAAAGAAGGGCAUUCCUGCCAAAGACCCGGGGCAGGUAUCCUGAAGUGCAGGGUGAAGAGACAUCUGUUAAUGUCUUCCCAGGAAAAGUCAUGUGCCAUCAGGUCUGUAAAUCCGAACAUUCAACCUGCAAACAUCUCUUGAGCUACUUCAGCAAUCAGGAUAGUUUGGCAGAAGGACUGAGUGCAGGAACAACUGGACAGUAGGACAGGAGGAAUGCCGAGUCUAUACUUGGUGAAACGCUUCGGUGGUGUUCAGAUAAAAACGCAGCAGAAUCUCUGAAUGGAGGACAACUACUGUGAAGUCACCAGCAUUUCUGCAUGGAGAGGUACCUGAAACUGACAUCUACCCACCUACGACUCUGCUAGGAAGUGUCACUGGGAGGAGCAUCCAGCUCAUAGAUGCUCUUAACCCUUUGUUCCAGUUAUAAUAAAGUUAACAGAGAGGUGU